rnacentral:lncRNA from 1 species
GGCUAACUUGCGUACGUCUGUUUUUCAGUUGGUACAUUUUAGUAAUGUGUACCGGAUUUCAGUAUACAAAAAUACCCUUAUAUCAUUAAUUCUAAGUUUUAAGGUUAAGGAUAUUUUAAUAAUUUUUAUUCUUAAAAUUAAAAAAAUAAAAAAAGAAACCCCCCAAAUCCUUACCCACCUCUUUCAUUCCUCUCAACCUUUUCUCUUUCAUCUCCUUUCACUCAGACUUUUACUCUGUCAUCCUUGCUCUAGCCCCAAUUGAAAAAAAUCAGAAACAUUUGCCAAAAAUGGCCACGGAACAAUGUUAUGUAGUGUCUCAGAAUGUAAAGGAAGGAUGCUCAUAAGUCUUGGUGCAAGUUGUGUCAGUCGGCUGUAAUAUAUAUAGUGAAGAUAAUGAAAUUAAAGAGAUUAUGAAUGAUCUUUUUUCGGAAGGUGAAUAUGUCNAUGACUCAACUCUUUACAAAAGUAAAUUGUUUAAUAAUGAGUAUUUUUUUAGUUGGAGCUAGUUCAGAGAUGAUAGAGAAAAUGUUAAGAGGAAUGAAGUAGGUGAGUAAGGGUUUGGGGUUUCUUUUUUCAGUUUUGAGAAUGAAAAUUUUUAAAAUAAGACAAGUGUUUGAUUUUUUUCAAUUGGGGCUAGAGUAAAGGAUGAGAGAGGUGGGUAAGGGUUUGGAAGGUUUCUUUUUUUAUUUUUUUUAUUUUGAAAGUGAAAAUUAUUAAAAUAUCCUUAACCUUUAAACUUAAUUCAUGAUAUAUAAGAGUAUUUUUGUCUACUGAAAUCCGGUACACAUUGCUAAAAUAUACCAACUGAAAAACAGACGUAUGUAAGUUAGCAAACCCCAUAUAUAUAUAUAUAUAUAUGUGUGUGUAUCCGCUGAUAAAAAAAGAAAAACAGUGCUCAUAGGUAUGUAAGUAUAUUUACUCCACGCAAAUUUCUCUUAUAAUCUAUAAUUAAUAGAUUAGGGAUUCCUUUUAUCUAAGGAAAGUCAAAUAAAUAUACUAGGAUGAUCUUUUGGUUCCAUUCUCCAUUGGUCUCGGUAUUUUUAUUUUAUUUUUUCAUAACUCAGGCAGAGUAUAGCACGAAAUUAUCUAGUGAUACGAGAUUAUAACGAUUUUAUUAAUUUUAUAUGACAAUCAACUAAUGUUAUUUUUUUUUUCUAUAAAUUGUAAAAUUACCUUUAAAUUCUAUGAGAAAAUUUGGGAUGCAGACUGAAGAGAAUGCUUUAGCAAAACAAGUUUUACAUUCAUGCAAUCGCUCCGUUUAAAUUUCAUUUAUUUAUAGUGUUUUGGUUAGUUUGUCCGGCUGAUAAAAAGCACUGUACUGGUUGCUGAUUUGGAAUUAUAGUUCCCCAUUACGUCCCCAAAAUUAUCAUGUUGCGAAGGAAAAAAAGAAAUGUACACAGAACGUAUGUAACAUAUUAAAUCAUUUAAUAUUAUAUAUAUAUAUAUAUAUAUAUAUAUAUAUAUAUAUAUAUAUGUGUGUGUGUGUGUGUAUGUUUGCUUAAAAAAGGAGGCUCCGACAAAAAAGAUAGGUAAAAUAUGUUAACGAAUAUUCGUGGACCAAGGCCAUUAUAAAGUGUCGCUUUCCAAGCCCUGCUUCAAUACAAGGCCACCUCUCCACAAAACUCAUCGUCAUCCUUAAAGCCAGACAAAUUGGACCCUCUCUCAACUUUUUACUUUUUAUGUAUCGUCCAUGAAGCCAAUAACACAACUUCAAGCUCCAAAACAAAAUGUUCAGGGAUACCUCAUUUUUCAGAAAACAGAUACAAAAUGCGUGGAAAGAAUUACCCAGAAACACCUAAGACCGUGAAAGCAAACACUAAUAAACAAACAGCUUUAUAUAUACACAGUACACUUAGCAAAAGCACGCCCAUAGUUCCGUUUUUACAUAUUUACAGCUAACCGACCAUCCAUAACUAGUUUAACACUAAACAGACUAACACUGAGCUGUUAAACCACACAAAGCUACCACUGCGUCAUUCCACGAUUUCAACCGCUCAACUGAUGAACUCACACACACACACACACACACACACACACACACACAUAUA